AGAGUACGUGAAACCGCUUAGAGGUAAACGGGUGGAUCCGCAAAGUCGGCCCGGGGAAUUCAACUUGUCGUUGUCGGGCGGCGGGAUCCGUAAAGACCCAGCACUUUCCUCGGGUAGAGCGCCACGACCGGUUUCGGACGGCGGUCACAAGCCGGACGGGAAGGUGACCUGACAUCCUCGUGGUGGCCAGGUGUUAUAGCCCGUCUAGUGUCGACUCGUCCCGAGACCGAGGAUUUGCCGCACCUCGACUGCUCUCGGCUCUCUGCGUGCGUUCGACUGGGGAAGCCACUGCUUGCAGUUCUCUCCGACCGCGUGCGUGGAUCUGUCGGGAAGCAACGGGGCGCCACGGGUCAAUGUCGA
rnacentral:rRNA from 1 species